rnacentral:rRNA from 1 species
GACGAACGCUGGCGGCGUGCUUAACACAUGCAAGUCGAACGGAAAGGCCCUGCUUUUGUGGGGUGCUCGAGUGGCGAACGGGUGAGUAACACGUGAGUAACCUGCCCUUGACUUUGGGAUAACUUCAGGAAACUGGGGCUAAUACCGGAUAGGAGCUCCUGCUGCAUGGUGGGGGUUGGAAAGUUUCGGCGGUUGGGGAUGGACUCGCGGCUUAUCAGCUUGUUGGUGGGGUAGUGGCUUACCAAGGCUUUGACGGGUAGCCGGCCUGAGAGGGUGACCGGCCACAUGGGGACUGAGAGACGGCCCAGACUCCUACGGGAGGCAGCAGGGGGGAAUAUUGCACAAUGGGCGGAAGCCUGAUGCAGCAACGCCGCGUGCGGGAUGACGGCCUUCGGGUUGUAAACCGCUUUCGCCUGUGACGAAGCGUGAGUGACGGUAACGGGUAAAGAAGCACCGGCUAACUACGUG